rnacentral:rRNA from 1 species
CCUACGGGGGGCAGCAGUGAGGAAUAUUGGUCAAUGGGCGUAAGCCUGAACCAGCCAAGUCGCGUGAGGGAUGAAGGUUCUAUGGAUCGUAAACCUCUUUUAUAAGGGAAUAAAGUGUGGGACGUGUCCUGUUUUGUAUGUACCUUAUGAAUAAGGAUCGGCUAACUCCGUGCCAGCAGCCGCGGUAAUACGGAGGAUCCGAGCGUUAUCCGGAUUUAUUGGGUUUAAAGGGUGCGUAGGCGGCCUUUUAAGUCAGCGGUGAAAGUCUGUGGCUCAACCAUAGAAUUGCCGUUGAAACUGGGAGGCUUGAGUAUGUUUGAGGCAGGCGGAAGGCGGGGUGUAGCGGUGAAAUGCUUAGAUAUCACGCAGAACCCCGAGUGCGAAGGCAGCCUGCCAAGCCAUGACUGACGCUGAUGCACGAAAGCGUGGGGAUCAAACAGGAUUAGAUACCCGUGUAGUC